rnacentral:lncRNA from 1 species
GUUUCUGCAUGCCUUCCUUUCUGUCACACUUGCGUGUGGAUAGAGCUGCGCGCGCCGUCAAGAACUAACUCGUCGCGUUCCUCUCGGAGGGAGGGGGGGAAACGGAGAGUUUAAAGCUUACAGUGGGGUAUCAAGAUCCUUCCUAAAGCCUCUACCGGAAAGCAAAAGGCCGUUUUCACGGUAAGCGUAGGGGGAAAAGCAUGUGGACAGAGCGCCGACUGUUAGUUUAUCCGCUCAGGAUUUCGCUCCAGAUACACCGUGGUGGCUACGGAUGCAUUCGCACUCCCCGACGCUGUGCGCAUACCAAUUACUCUGCCCUAUCGAUAUCUGUAGUCAAAUGUGCGGUGUUGGAUCUACUCUACCUCUACAAAUGCGAGCAUCUGAAGCAAGCUUCGUGAUUUCGUUUUUUUGGAGUGGGUUGGGCACGGUCGCACAACAGGACUACCCUCGGAGGGCCCCGGCUUCCGAUAGGUAGCCGCUUGGUCACACGCUGAGAGAAAAAGUCCACAGGAGACCAGAAGCUAAGAAGAAACAGAAACAAAUGAAGAUGAAGAGAAAGCGGGGGCACAGUUGAGCUCAAGUAGCGGGACGAAUGGAGAAAAGCCGGCCCCUCCGGUGGCGAAAGGUACAAUGAAGGCAUUUGGGAAGAAAGCCACGGGCUGGAAGUUCGUCCGAGGAUCCAGAGAGCAGGUCUGUCGAGGACUGAGGAGGCAAAGAUGAGCUCGUUAAGCUGUCCAAACACAGCCCAAGGGGUCAAAAAUUGAGAAAAACGCGCCAGGGGGGGCGACAGCGCGUUCUCCGCGAUUGCUGAUACUACGAUUUUUCGUGCGCAGUUUGACCCUGUGCACACAAAGCCACCUGUUUUGGGUUCAAGAGCCCACAAGUCACAGCAGGGCGCUGUUAUGACCCAAAUAUCGUGCGAUCUUCUAUCAGAGUCGAAGGCCAUGCACACGUCGUCGUUUUCAGGUUGAACUCAACCGCUCGUUCGUAAGCAUGCACGCGAAGUGACCCACCGUGUCUUGUAAUUUUCUCAGAAGGUAAGUUGCCGGUCGAAGCGUCGAACCACUGAACAGAAACGUGGCAAGCGAGCUACGACCAGCGUCUUUUUCCCUUGUGUUCAACGAGAGUCUCGCGGAGAACUGCAGUGGGCCUGAGGUUUUCCUUCC